GGGUCUGUAGCUCAGGUGGUUAGAGCGCACCCCUGAUAAGGGUGAGGUCGCUGGUUCAAGUCCAGCCAGACCCACCA
rnacentral:tRNA from 1 species